UACGGGAGGCAGCAGUGAGGAAUUUUUUGCAAUGGGCGAAAGCCUGACAGAGCAAUACCGCGUGAGGGAAGAAGGCUUACUGAGUUGUAAACCUCGGUGCCUUAAGGAAGAAGAUCUGGCGGUACUUAAGGUGGAAAGCAUCGGCUAACCCCGUGCCAGCAGCCGCGGUAAGACGGGGGAUGCAAGUGUUAUCCGGAAUCACUGGGCGUAAAGCGUCUGCAGGUGGUUUCCUAAGUCCACUGUUAAACCUUGAGGCUCAACCUCAAAUAUGCAGUGGAAACUAGGGAACUUGAGGAUAGUAGGGGUAGAGGGAAUUUCCAGUGGAGCGGUGAAAUGCGUAGAUAUUGGAAAGAACACCGAUGGCGAAGGCACUCUACUGGGCUAUGACUGACACUCAGAGACGAAAGCUAGGGGAGCAAAUGGGAUUAGAUACCCCAGUAGUCCUAGCCGUAAACGAUGGAUACUCGAUGUUGGACGUAUCGACCCGUUCAGUAUCUUAGCUAACGCGUUAAGUANCCGCCUG
rnacentral:rRNA from 1 species